CUUGGAUAUCUACAAAUUCAACACACAAGCAAGAAUGUUGGCAUUUGAAUAAUAAAGAGAAAGGAAGAAGCAUAGGUGGGUUCUUACAUCACCAUCUCUUAUUACCCAAG
rnacentral:lncRNA from 11 species